rnacentral:rRNA from 1 species
UACAGAGGGUGCAAGCGUUAAUCGGAAUUACUGGGCGUAAAGCGUGCGCAGGCGGUUGUGUAAGACAGUUGUGAAAUCUCCGGGCUUAACCCGGAAAGGUCAACUGAUACUGCGGGGCUAGAGUGCAGAAGGGGCAACUGGAAUUCUCGGUGUAGCGGUGAAAUGCGUAGAUAUCGAGAGGAACACCUGCGGCGAAGGCGGGUUGCUGGGCUGUCACUGACGCUGAACUGCGAAAGCUAGGGGAGCGAACGGG